GAGAGUAUAGCUCAGUGGUAGAGCGCACGCUUAGCAUGCAAGAGGUCCUGGGUUCAAUCCCUAGUACCUCA
rfam:Camelus ferus unplaced genomic scaffold scaffold618, whole genome shotgun sequence.